CCGGCGAGAAGUAUCAGAUUCUGAAUUGCUAAAUUGAAAAUUGUAUUAGUGUUGGGGGACCAAAAUGUGAUGGUAAUUUUAGCUUUUGUGAGGGAGUUUUUGGCAAUUGUUUGAACUUAUCUCUUAACUCCAGCACCUCAGCACCCUCCAUACGUAUUGGAGCUGCUUCCUCUCCUCCUUAUCUCGUUCAUUCUCCUUCUCUUUCUCUAACCUAAGGUGAUGAUGUUUGAAGGAGUUUCUUGGUGGAUUUAGGUGUUUUGAGCUAAGAGGAAGGCUUUUGAGCUGGGAAACCAGCUGGUGAAGCCUUGAAACUGAGGUAAGAUGGUGUAUUUCCUGGUUAGGGUUGUGCUAUUUACCCUUAAAGAGAUUUGAGCCAUGGAUUUUGGAUUCUAAAGCUUGAAGAGGCUAUGUAAUCUUAGAAACUGCACUAUGGACAGCAUAUAUAUAUGUAUGUGAGUUGUUUGUUAGAGAGGAACCUGAGGUAGGUUAGCCAUAAUUCCUAGUUAUGGUUUAUGGUAUUUAACCUAGAGAAGGGGUUUAGCUUGGAAUUUCUAGGUUACUGGCACUUGUUUUGCCAUGAUAACCUAGAGAAAAGAAGAAGCUAUGUGUUGUAUGUGUGUUAACUUCGACAGCUGGGGAAUCAAGGUGAAUUAACUUGUAAUUCCUGGUUAGGGAUUGAUGUAAAUCUUUGAAAUUACCUGGUUUUAAGGUUGUUGGGUUGUUAAGAAUUGGAGUAUUCUCUAUAUGUUUUUGUAGAACCUAUGUAGAAGCAGUUUAUAUUAAGCUUACGCUUAAAAAUGCGACUUUGUAGGAUUGACGCUCUAGUUUGAAAUUGAUCGCAUAGAAUCCUAAUUGAGGAUAAAAUCGACGUGUUGGAAAGCUCAGAUCGGCGUUCCGAUGAGCCUACGGCAAGCUAGUGAGAAAAAAUCUCAUUUUAGCUUCGUUUGUCGCGAGUGAGGAUUGUGAUGGCUCAUAAAUCGCGGGAAGUGGAUUUCUCACAUUCCGGCAUCAUUUAAAGGUUCCAGCAAGUGCGGUGUGGUUGAGGAUCGUGACCGGGACAACGCUCUAUAGAUAGCGGACAUCUAUUGAAUAUAGUGAUACCUUGUACAUUUCAUCUAUUUAUUAUAGUUGAUGAAAGAAAAUGUAAACUAUUCAUUUGAGAGAUGACAAAUGUAUAUAUUAAAGAAUGUAUGUAUGUAAACAAAUAGCAAGCUUUGUAUUUGAUUUAAAGUAAUCAAGAUACAAUGUGUGAAUGUUUUAGUU